UGUGUUGAAAGAAAUUGGAAAGAGGGUAAAUCUUUUGGUUCCUAUAAUUACAAAAAAAAAUUGACUUGUACAGAAUGUCUUCUCUCGUGAAGUUAUCUCUUGUUUUCGCUCUUGUUUUGUGUGCUGUGCUGUUCAAACCGGCCAGUGCUGGCUGCCGGGUCUCAUGUGGUUGGCAUUGUUCGGGCUGGAGCUGUAGCUAUGGUUGUUCUCUUCAAUGCAGCCGGAAAAAACGAAGUAUUUCAGAGGGUAACGACGAUGAUGAUGCAAAGCGAAUGCCUUUUCCUGAGAAAUUCGGUCAGUAUGAUCUUGACAAAAAUGGUGGUAUCACAUUGGAAGAACUCGCGAUGGCCAUCAACGUGGUAAAACAUGCAAAAGGAACAGAGGAAGCUUUUCGCGAAGCUGACAAAAAUGGUGACGG